rnacentral:ncRNA from 2 species
CCUAUUCAAUUUCAAAUGACUCGUAUAAUUCUUGGGGAUAUGGCCCAUAAGUUUCUACCAGAUGACCGAUCAUCUUAUCUGACUACGAGUGAAAGUGCAUCUAGG